rnacentral:sRNA from 1 species
UGACCCUUUUAAGCCGAGGGUCACCUAGCCAACUGACGUUGUUAGUGAAUAUUUUGUUCACAAAUAGAUAGCCAGCCGCCCAAUUGCGACUGGCUUUUUUUUU